rnacentral:rRNA from 1 species
CCCUUAGAUGUUCUGGGCCGCACGCGCGCUACACUGACGGAGGCAGCGAGCGUGUCCUUCGCCGGCAGGUGCGGGCAAUCUGUUGCAGUCUCCGUCGUGCUGGGGAUAGAUGGUUGCAAUUGUCGAUCUUCAACGAGGAAUUCCUAGUAAGCACGAGUCAUCAGCUCGUGCUGAUUACGUCCCUGCCCUUUGUACACACCGCCCGUCGCUACUACCGAUUGAGUCGCCUAGUGAGAACUCCGGAUCUGCGUCUCGGAGACCGGCAACGUGUCGCCGAGAAUUGUGGAGAAGUUGUUCAAAUUCGGCGACUUAGAGGAAGUAAAAGUCGUAACA